CAACUCGUUUCAUUGUCGUUGCUGUGCUUCUUCAUCUCAUCAUCACAGUUUCGCCAAAUCGCGCCGUCGUCUAGAGCCACUAUACCCCAUCGCGAUGCGUCUCCGUCCAACGCGCUUGAAUCGUACCACCAUCGUUGUUGAUUUCCAUGCUACAAGUCUACAACCACCAAUUUUGGUCUUGGUAAGGUAACCACCAAAUAGUUGUCUUGCCAUUCUUCUUCUUCAUUUUGAUAUCAUUAUUUUCAUGGAAACUUAUAUAUAUAGAUUAAUGGUUAAUACAAUUCUUAACCAAUCUAUUUUCGUUGAAUACAGGCAACAAACAACAUAUGCUGGUGAAGAAGUGAAGUGUUGGAGAAGAAGAAGAAAAUUGAACAAAUUUGUUGAAGAAGAAGAAGAAGAAAAUGAUCAAUGGAUAAAAGAAAAAGAGAUAGAGGAAUAAGAAAUUAAUCGAAUAAAACAAAUAAGACGGAAAGAAAGAACUCUCACAAGUAAAAAGAAGAAAAGAAAAAGAAAAUAAGAAAAGAAUUUUAUUCAUACGAAAUUUUGUAUGUUUUUAAAUUAUUUUGAUAUAAAAUUUGAAAAUAAAUCAAAUGAGUGAAUAUUUUAAUUAAAAAAGGGUAAAGUUGUCUUUUUCAUAUAAAAUUGAUUAAUAUUAGUAUAUUUUUAUUUUUAUGAUUACUAUUAACUUUUUUGCAUUAUUUGAUUUUCGAAUAUCAACAUCAACUACAAAAAAAACUAUGACAACAAAAAUAAAACAAAAUUUAUUAAUAAAUUAUUCAAAUUAUUAAAAAACUAUUUGGCUUAAAAAUUUUAAAUAAAAAUUAUUAAUUAUACAUAUAAUUAUUUAUCUAUUAAAUUAAAAAUAUAUUUAAAAUAUUAAACACUAGCUCUUUUUAACAUGUCUAAAAGCAUUGCCUCAAUAUCAUUGAGAGUCUUGUGAUGGAGGAGUAGUUACUAAUUUUAUACUCUAUCCGUCCUAUAAAGGUGUAUAACAUAUGGGAUUACUUGAAAAUUUUAAGAAAAAUAUUGAAGGAUAAUGUGUUGAGUGGAAAUUAGUAGUUGUGGUUGAGUUGAUUAUGUGGUUAUGUAGAAAUGUGUGAUUGUGAUUAAAAAAAAGUAAGUUCAUUUCCCAAAAUAAAAAUGAUACUAUGAGACGAACGAAAGUAAAAAAUGUGAUACACUUUUACAGAACGAAAGGAGUAUAUAUUUAGAAUCCGUUUGAUAGACUAGAUAAACCCACGAUAGAAGAGCUAUUUGGGUUUAGCCAAUUAUUUGGUGUCCUAUGGGUCCGUUUGAUUUGCAGUUUAGGAUUGAUUAUGAUUAAAAUUAUCUUGAGAAAUUAGUGUGGAUUUAUACUAUUGCAUGGGUGUUUGAUAUCAUGGCUACUUAAUCCUAUAUUGUGUUUGAUAUCCAUAGGAUUAUGUUGGAUUAUAUUAUCUAAUACUAAAACUAUCCUCAUAUAAUUUUAAAAAUACCAUGUGUGUCCACCAUUACUUGGGCAUUUGCAUCGAUAUGCGUGAGAAAGGGUAGCAAAAUUUUUAUCCAACUUCGCAGUACUAAAGUUAUCCGAGGGAGGGAGGCCGGUUUAGUAGUAUGGGUUAUUCCCACAAAAUAGUACAUAGAAGUGGAAUUAAGUAGGAGUUGACCACAUUAAUAUAACAUGAUAUCAAACCACACUAAUCUGUAUUAAUUUAAUUUAUUCUACCUAUAAAUCACGCCUACCCCUUUGAUUAUUAACGGGUCUUCCAACAGUAAUCACAAUAACAAAAGUCUUACACUAAAUUACCCUUAAAAUUAUUUACAACCAUCUUUUGCAGCGAUUCCGGUGGAGUGCCGCCGCCGCGUGUUUGUUGCAGGUGGUGUGGUGGUUAUGGCUGCGUGUUCAACUGUUGAGAGAGAGAGAGCAGAGGUGGUUGCUGAGAGAGAGAGCAAAGGCAAAGGCGGGUUGGGGGCGCCAAUCUUCAAAUCUUUCUUAGUAGUAUUUGUUUUAAUAUACGAAGUUAAAUUUGAACAGACACUGUGGAAUCUAUAUAUAAUAUAAAAGAUCAGUAUAACGGUAAUUUUUUACCGCCAAAUUUUCUCUCUCCCAUUUUCUCUAAAUUUAACCAAUUUCUCUCACUUCUAACCAACUACCCGUCACUCACUCUUUCUCUCUCUCUCUCCCUCUUUUUUCCUUUUUCUUUUUCUUUGCAAGUUUUCAAUUUUUGUUUUCUUUUCUUUAAUUUUUUUUACAUUUAGAAUUUUUGUUUUUCCUAAAAUUUAUACAAUUAAAUUAAUUAAAAAAUUUAAUACGCAUAUCAAAUUAAAUAUCAUGACAUGAGCUUUAAUUUAAUUUAUAAUAGUAUAUAAAAAACUUUAAACUAA
rnacentral:lncRNA from 1 species